rnacentral:lncRNA from 1 species
AGAAAGGGAGGAAAGGGAGUAGAGAAGGCCACACACAAUCUUAAAUUCAAUAUUUCACUCCCGUUAAAGAUAAGCUGUUUAUAAGCUCCAGUGUAGGGCAUGUAAUUCUAUGUAAAAACUCUGUGGUUCCUCUUCCCACAUGUAAAUCAUGAUCACUCUACAUUCUGCUCUCUGGGAGCCCUCAAGGCAAAGAGACAACAAGACUCGAGACCACAGAAAGGACUUAUCACAAGUCUUUGUGGUAGCUGAGGAGUGCCCCCUACAGACUGAUAUGCACAAUGCAAGCAGAUGAAGAGGAAAGAACUGAGCAGCAGUAUUUCAGGAUUCUCAAUAAGGCAUCAAUGAAAAAAGGCAUUCCUGAUUAAAAAAACAUAGAAAGACAAUCCAGAGA